rnacentral:rRNA from 1 species
UGCCCCAGUAACGGCGAGUGAAGCGGCAAGAGCUCAAAUUUGAAAUCUGGCCCUUUCAGGGUCCGAGUUGUAAUUUGUAGAGGGCGCUUUGGCGUCGGCUACGGCCUAAGUUCCUUGGAACAGGACGUCACAGAGGGUGAGAACCCCGUACGUGGCCGCUGGCCUUCGCCGUGUAAAGCCCCUUCGACGAGUCGAGUUGUUUGGGAAUGCAGCUCUAAAUGGGAGGUAAAUUUCUUCUAAAGCUAAAUACUGGCCAGAGACCGAUAGCGCACAAGUAGAGUGAUCGAAAGAUGAAAAGCACUUUGGAAAGAGAGUCAAAAAGCACGUGAAAUUGUUGAAAGGGAAGCGCUUGCAGCCAGACUUGCCUGUAGUUGCUCAUCCGAGCUCCCGCUCGGUGCACUCUUCUGCGGGCAGGCCAGCAUCAGUCCGGGCGGUCGGAUAAAGGCCCUGGGAAUGUAGCUCCCCUCGGGGAGUGUUAUAGCCCGGGGUGCCAUGCGACCAGCCUGGACUGAGGUCCGCGCAUCUGCUAGGAUGCUGGCGUAAUGGCUGUAAGCGGCCCGUCUUGAAACACGGACCAAGGAGUCUAACAUCUAUGCGAGUGUUUGGGUGUCAAGCCCGGGCGCGUAAUGAAAGUGAACGGAGGUGGGAACCCCUCGGGGCGCACCAUCGACCGAUCCUGAUGUCUUCGGAUGGAUUUGAGUAAGAGCAUAGCUGUUGGGACCCGAAAGAUGGUGAACUAUGCCUGAAUAGGGUGAAGCCAGAGGAAACUCUGGUGGAGGCUCGCAGCGGUUCUGACGUGCAAAUCGAUCGUCAA